UGUGUGUGUGUGUGUGUGUGUACAUGCACAUGUGUGACAUAUACAUAGACACACACUCUCACUCAUACA